UUCGAAAACUGUCACGGGGCCGUGCAGCCCUUUCACGGCAAUUACAGACUGUCAUCUUAACCGAUGACUGUCUACCAACGGACCCAAAGCGACGUUGCAUCACCAAAUAUCCGAGUUAACGGGUCGCCAAGUCAUUUGAUUCUUAGAUCCUCUUCCAGCCAAAAUUUUAGCCAAAGCGCCUAACUAAUUUCUUUUGGAAUUUCAUUCAUUUACCUUAUCCAAUAUCCAAACGCACAUUCACAGAUCUCUUUCAGACUCUCACUCGACCACAUCAGCCUUAGGGGGCCUUCUGUAUUUCCCCUUUCAAAAUCUUCUCCAUUGUUUGUUUGCACUCUUCUUCACCUCCUCAACUCUCCAAUUUUCAACUUUUCAGAUGCUCAAAUCUCAAAAUCUCUGCUAGUUUGGCUUCAACAACCAAUACCCAUUCCCCUUUUCUGCAGUUCCAAGCUCACUCAUCUAUGGUGAGUUUUCCCGCCAAUUUUCCCUUUUGAAUUGGUCUCCUCAAAGGCAUUGGUGGCUUGUAACAUCGAAGAGGUUCUCUAAAGAAAGAUUCUUCUUAGGUAUGAAUAGUCCUUGUAGAAACUCAUCGGAUGUUGAUUUCAACGAUGUGUUUGGUGGCCCUCCAAGGCGGCUAUCAAUUCAGGAGGUGCGGCGCAGUUGUGGUGAAAGUGGAGAUUCGUAUGCGUUAAGAAGUGAUGAGGAAACAAGCUUAUCUCGUUCUGGGUGGUCAGGUCUGAGUGAGAAGCCGGUGUUUGGAGAGGGAGGAGUUAGUAGAAGGCGAUAUCCAAAUGAUGAUUUCUUUGAUGAUAUUUUUACAGCUUAUUCUCCGACUAAGAGCAGUCGAGAUCCAUUUUCUUCUGCUCCAGGUUCGAGAGUUUUAAGCCCUGUUCAUCCCCUGCCACUAACUGCUGAGCACUCUGCGAGUUCAUCACAGGCAACACAAUUCAGCCUCCCUGCCAAAGGGACUGACUUGCCAACUUUUGGGUCCUGUUCCCGUAAUUAUCACAGAAAUAAGGAUGCUACUUCAACUGGUAUAAGCUUUCGUUCAUAUUCUACCCUAUCUAGACUUUCAAGCAAAGCAAAUCAAGCUCAGGGGGAGUCGGGAAAUGAUGUUUAUUUUCAGAGCUCUUUAUUGCAGGAACAAUCUCUUAGCAAGGAAGAGUCAUCAAACAUUGUGAAACCUAAUGAAAUGGCCAAAGGCAAUGAUUUUAAAAUGGAUUCAAAGAGUUCUGAAGGUCCAAAUAUUAGCAACCAGUUUCACUUCUCAAUUUACAAAUGGGCAAGCAAAGGGAUACCCCUACCAUUGCCUCUUGCAGGAGGAAAUAGUUCAAAAUGGAAAGAGAAGUUUAAAUUUGAGAGGAGCUCAAGUGCUUCUGGACGGAUAGCAUGUGAAGGUAUGGCAACGGAAUCACCGACAGUGAUCGCGGAGGAUACUGGUUGCCCCUCAUUCAAUAUUAGCAUAUCGUCAGAUGCUAAGUCCUCUGAGGUUGAACUUGAUCAAAAUGAAAAUGGCUCCCUUUUCAAUAGAAGCACUAAUAGAAAAUUAGGAGGGCUGAAUUCUGACAAGGCAAUUCCGACCGAGUCUGAAAUCCCAUGCACUCAUCAAGAAGAUGGCCCUGAUAAUAUUAUCUUUCAGAAUUCAUAUAAAGAAACAAAACCUCAUUUUGUUCUUGGUACAGGCUUCUCUGGAAAAGUAGAGAAGAAAAAUUCUGUGGCCACACAAGAAGCACUGCGUUCCCCGUUGAUAGGAACCGAUGAGAUUACUACCCAAAAUGAAUUGAAGGAAGACGAGGUGAAAAGCAUCAAAAGAUUAGUAGCAUUAUUUGAUUUUAGUGAAAAAAUAGAGAAAAAAGAUGGAAAUGUAUUGCAUAGUGAAAAAAUGGAUAAAACAAACUUGCGAGGUUCACCCACAAAUUCUCUUGCAAAGAGUAGAGGUAAGGGAAAGGUCAGGGAAUUUGUUAAAAUUUUUAACCAGGCAGCUUCAAACAACUCCAAAUUCUGUGUGGAUUCUCAAUCUCAGAGCUCUAGAUGGAAUGACAGAGGCAAAUUUAAGACAGAAGAUGAUGUAGAUUUUACCUCAACUCGACUAAAAGAGAAAAUGCACUUGCCUAAUGUGAACAAGAACAAUACACUCGAUCCCUGCAUUGUGGUAGAUGAGUUUCUUAUGCGGUUAGAGAAACAACAUUCUGAGACGAGGAACAGCAACCAUAAGUCCACCGCGAUCUCUCCUGGACUUAAGGAUAGGUCAGCAUCAACUGCAGGACCAAUCCCUGAUGGCUCGGAAGCAAUAGCUGGAGAUCCAGAUGAUUCCUUCCAAGGAAAUAUCCUGAUUAAAGAAUUAUCUCAGGGUGAAGAUGAACUGCCACAAGCUGGUGAUAUCCAAUUCAUUAAUGAUAAAAUUUGGAAAUGGUCAAAUGGAAGGGAAGGGAACAUCCGCUCCCUGCUCUCAACUUUACAAUAUAUUGAUUACACCAGAUUCUUUGGCCUGAAAGUGGGUGGAAGCCUGUGCCUCUUGUUGAUAUAAUUGAAGGAAAUGCAGUGAAGAGAUCAUAUCAGAAGGCCUUACUCUUUUUACACCCAGAUAAACUACAGCAGAAAGGUGCCACAUCACAUCAAAAAUACAUAGCAGAGAAAGUUUUUGAUAUUCUGCAGGAAGCAUGGACCCAUUUCAACUCACUUGGUUCAGUGUGAGCAAUGAAUUCUCAAGUAUGAAUCAAUAGGGUUCACAUGAUACGCUAAUAUGGUAGCGAGAAAACUACGUUUUGGACUGUACGUAGGUAGUUUGUGUGGUAUGCUGCUAUGUAUUGGACAUACCUGCUUGGUUCCUAUAGCGCAUUGAAUGUUGCCAAGCUCCAAUUUAGAUUUUCUUUUUUAAAUAUGUACAUAUUUUUUAUUUUUACUUGAAAAGUCACUUCAAAUUCUUA